ensembl:lncRNA novel transcript
CUUAGGGAGUUACAAGUUUGGUAGCUCAUGGAGUUGCCAUAGACAUAGAAUAUAUUGAUUUUUAAUCACAGCACACAACAAGAUGUACAUUUAUAUCCUUGUGAGUAAGUGAAUAUGGUUGAGAGAAGAGGUUAGGUUGACAAAGCAACUACUAAAAAAUUGUCUUUUUCCCUCUGUCUUAUGGGUAACUUGGAUGAAAACAUAGAAGAUGAGCUUAUAAUAUAUGAUGAUUAAUAAAGUAGGGAGAGAGAGUCAGUUGGAUAGAAGAGUUUCUAUUUCAAAAUCCCAGGUUGCCACAGUGGCUCACACCUGUAAUCUCAGCAUUUUAGGAGGCCGAGGCGGGCAGAUCACUUGAGGGGAAAAAAUCUAAAUAAAAAUUUUAACAAUCAUAUAAAUAUAAAGCCAAGAUCUUAAUCUGGAAUGGGAAGGUUAAGACCAUUCAUUAAUUCAACAAAUAUUUACUGAGCAGCCCUGAGACUGUUUUCCUUGGGGUCUGGGAAGGGGAGCCAUGGUCAAUGGACUCUUGUUAUCUGUAGGAAUAUUGAUCCCUACCACAAGGUAGAGGGACAGGGAAUAAAGGGGAGAUAGUCCUCCUAUGAGAUAAAGGUAGGGGAUGUUCUACAGGGCCCAGUUUUAUAUUUUUCUUUUCUGCCUUGUUAUUUCUUCUCAUGAUUUUCUUUCAGUAAAAUCUCUUUCCCACAUCUCUUUCAGUAAAAUUUUGUUAAAUGAUAGUCUUGUUCUCUGUUUUGGGGAAUUAC